GUAUCUGUCUGUGACUUUUUGUGUGUAUCUGUGUGCCUAUAUGUGUAUCUGUUUGUGUCAGAUACACAUACAGACACACAGAUACACACAAACAGACAC